rnacentral:rRNA from 1 species
CGAACGGCUCCGUAUAUCUGUUAUCACCAAUUGCCCUUGUUAAGCCUAGCAUACCGGCCAGCGGAUAUGGCACGGUAAUUCUGUCAGUAAUACGUUCAGCGUGGGGUGCUUCAUCGCUCCCACAGCUAGCAUAUGGUGUGGGUCCGUUCCUUCGUCAACGGCCAGGGCUCCUCAGCCAACCCCACCAUUACUUCAAUGCUAUGGCUUUGCACUGUGAUCAGCGACUUCAGGGACUGGGGGGUUUAUGAUUGCGUGCAAAUGUGCCGAACCCUGGGGGGGGGGAGGCAUUGGGUAUCAGACCUAUCAACUCGGAGGCUGGGUAAGUGCCAGCCUCGGUGAUAACGGGUACAGAGGAUCAGGGUUCGGUCCUGGAGAGGUAGCCUGAGAGAUCGCUACUACUUCUAAGGAAGGCAGCAGGCGCGCAACGUUCCCAAUGGGGUGCUACCCCUGAGGACGUGAAGGGACAUAACAAUGCCCCCCCUCAUAAAGGGGGGGUAAUUGCAAUGGGGGCGUCACAAACCUCCCACCGAGUAACAAUUGGAGGACAAGUCUG